rnacentral:rRNA from 1 species
GACGAACGCUGGCGGCGUGCCUAAUACAUGCAAGUAGAACGCUGAAGGAGGGGCUUGCUUCUCUGGAUGAGUUGCGAACGGGUGAGUAACGCGUAGGUAACCUGCCUGGUAGCGGGGGAUAACUAUUGGAAACGAUAGCUAAUACCGCAUAAGAGUAGAUGUUGCAUGACAUUUGCUUAAAAGGUGCAAUUGCAUCACUACCAGAUGGACCUGCGUUGUAUUAGCUAGUUGGUGGGGUAACGGCUCACCAAGGCGACGAUACAUAGCCGACCUGAGAGGGUGAUCGGCCACACUGGGACUGAGACACGGCCCAGACUCCUACGGGAGGCAGCAGUAGGGAAUCUUCGGCAAUGGACGGAAGUCUGACCGAGCAACGCCGCGUGAGUGAAGAAGGUUUUCGGAUCGUAAAGCUCUGUUGUAAGAGAAGAACGAGUGUGAGAGUGGAAAGUUCACACUGUGACGGUAUCUUACCAGAAAGGGACGGCUAACUACGUG